rnacentral:rRNA from 1 species
GAAACGACUGCUAAGACUGGAUAGGAGACAAGAAGGCAUCUUCUUGUUUUUAAAAGACCUAGCAAUAGGUAUGCUUAGGGAGGAGCUUGCGUCACAUUAGUUAGUUGGUGGGGUAAAGGCCUACCAAGACUAUGAUGUGUAGCCGGGCUGAGAGGUUGAACGGCCACAUUGGGACUGAGACACGGCCCAAACUCCUACGGGAGGCAGCAGUAGGGAAUUUUCGGCAAUGGAGGAAACUCUGACCGAGCAACGCCGCGUGAACGAUGAAGUAUUUCGGUACGUAAAGUUCUUUUAUUAGGGAAGAAUAAAUGAUGGAAAAAUCAUUCUGACGGUACCUAAUGAAUAAGCCCCGGCUAACUAUGUGCCAGCAGCCGCGGUAAUACAUAGGGGGCAAGCGUUAUCCGGAAAUUAUUGGGCGUAAAGGGUGCGUAGGCGGUUAAAUAAGUUUAUGGUCUAAGUGCAAUGCUCAACAUUGUGAUGCUAUAAAAACUGUUUAGCUAGAGUAAGAUAGAGGCAAGUGGAAUUCCAUGUGUAGUGGUAAAAUGCGUAAAUAUAUGGAGGAACACCAGUAGCGAAGGCGGCUUGCUGGGUCUUUACUGACGCUGAGGCACGAAAGCGUGGGGAGCAAACAGGAUUAGAUACCCUGGUAGCCCACGCCGUAAACGAUGAGUACUAAACGUUGGGUAAAACCAGUGUUGAAGUUAACACAUUAAGUACUCCGCCUGAGUAGUACGUACGCAAGUAUGAAACUUAAAGGAAUUGACGGGACUCCGCACAAGCGGUGGAUCAUGUUGUUUAAUUCGAAGGUACCCGAAAAACCUCACCAGGUCUUGACAUGCUUCUGCAAAGCUGUAGAAACACAGUGGAGGUUAUCAGUUGCACAGGUGGUGCAUGGUUGUCGUCAGCUCGUGUCGUGAGAUGUUGGGUUAAGUCCCGCAACGAGCGCAACCCUUAUUGUUAGUUACCAGCACGUAAUGGUGGGGACUUUAGCAAGACUGCCAGUGAUAAAUUGGAGGAAGGUGGGGAUGACGUCAAAUCAUCAUGCCCCUUAUGACCUGGGCUACAAACGUGAUACAAUGGCUGUUACAAAGGGUAGCUGAAGCGCAAGUUUUUGGCGAAUCUCAAAAAAACAGUCUCAGUUCGGAUUGAAGUCUGCAACUCGACUUCAUGAAGUUGGAAUCGCUAGUAAUCGCGAAUCAGCAUGUCGCGGUGAAUACGUUCUCGGGGUUUGUACACACCGCCCGUCA